AGGGUAGCUAUGUACGGAAGAGAUAACCGCUGAAAGCAUCUAAGCGGGAAACUCGCCUGAAGAUGAGGAUUCCCUGGCGGCUUGACCGCCUUGAAGGGUCGUUCGAGACCAGGACGUUGAUAGGCUGGGUGUGGAAGCGCAGUAAUGCGUUAAGCUAACCAGUACUAAUUGCCCGUAAGGCUUGAUCCUAUAAC
rnacentral:rRNA from 1 species